AGAACGAACGCUGGCGGCAUGCCUAAUACAUGCAAGUCGAACGAAGGCUUCGGCCUUAGUGGCGCACGGGUGCGUAACGCGUGGGAAUCUGCCCCUUGGUUCGGAAUAACAGUUGGAAACGACUGCUAAUACCGGAUGAUGACGAAAGUCCAAAGAUUUAUCGCCAAGGGAUGAGCCCGCGUAGGAUUAGCUAGUUGGUGAGGUAAAGGCUCACCAAGGCGACGAUCCUAGCUGGUCUGAGAGGAUGAUCAGCCACACUGGGACUGAGACACGGCCAGACUCCUACGGGAGCAGCAGUAGGGAAUAUUGGACAAUGGGACGAAAGCCUGAUCCGAGCAAUGCCGCGUAGAGUGAGUGAGGUACCGUUAGGUUGUAAAGCUUACUUUACCCG
rnacentral:rRNA from 1 species